AAAACGGCUCUUUUAAGAGCCACCAACUGCUUCAGACUCAAGAGCU
rfam:Danio rerio chromosome 7, GRCz11 reference primary assembly.